GGGGUGGUGGAGUUGCUAUCUCUGGCAGUGUUCAAGAGGUGUCUGGAUGAGGAGCUAUGAGAUAUGCUUUAGUAGCUGUGGUAGUAAUGGUAAUGGGAGGACGGUCGGACUAGAUGAUCUUGCAGGACAUUUCUAACCUUGCGAUUCUAUGAUUCUGUGAUUCUAUGAUGUAAGCUGAACUACAGUACUGCAGUUUUGUGUCUGUUAUGUUUUAGAAGAGAAUAAUUUGGUAGUGUAUUUCACAUGAAUCAACAAUUCAAUAACAAAAGUUCAGCAUUUGUCCCUUAUCCCAUUCAGAGGGAGUUAUUAUUCAUAUCCCACCUUAACUGGGAUGAAGUUAUCUGUUGAGAUUCAUAAACAACAUGCUGUUAAUGUCUCGUAUAAAAAUGGCAGUAGACAACACGCAAGAGUAAGUCAGUAGGAUGCAGCACAGUGGAACUCAGCUUGGAAAUGGAGGUCUUCCCAAUGCCUGGGAAGCCCCUCUGCCAGCAACUGUCACCUCUACUGCGGGGGCAACUGAAAUGUAUGCAGAAAUGCUUGCAAAUCACCCCAUUCUGUAACAUAACCAGAAUUGGCCCUGGUUUUACAACAGACAAUGUAAAAAAUGGCUGGAUGGGUUAUUCUGGCUUCCCUGAUGUGGGUAUUAAAGAGUAGGCUGUUGAAGGCACCAUCAGUUAAAUUUGUCUGUUUGUGAGUCAGUGCCUUCACAUGUUAGGGGGGCAAGUGCUGAACUUCAAAGGAAAGCACAAAUACCCGUCAUAGCAACUGUCAGUCACUAGUCUGCAGCAAAUCCCAGUAAGUACCCAAAAGUUUGAUUUCAAAGUGAACAUUGCCUCCCAAAUUUUAAAAGGCCAGAGAGCUGGCAAACCAGUCAGGCAGAUGUGAGUUUGGAAACAUUUUUAUGGAGUUAGUUUAAUAUUGGUUGCAUUUUUAUCCCUGUAAAGAUCAUGACAUAGCCAAUGUUCACAUCCAAAUUCUGUGUUUGUCCUUUUUGUCUGAAGGACUUUUGCCAGACCAUUAAGUUUUUGAUCGAAAGUUGGAAGAGCUACCAGAAUGUGCUACCCUAAUACUUACAAAUCAUGUAAUUUCAAUUCUCAUUUUAAAUAGUGCCACAGUAUCUCUGGGAUUAUCCAGAAAUUAACUAUGCUGUGAAUCAAAUCAGUUACUGCAAAGGGCAUCAACUACCUUAGUACACUGUGAUUCCUUGCUGAUGUUACUCAGUUGAUGCCUGUGGCAAGUGAUCUCUGUUUUCAAAUUCUUAGAGUUGGAGUCUGAGGAUCAGAAAUCUCCAGUGUAGUAAAGAAUAGUCAAGUGUGCUGAUAAUGUUUUGGGAAUGAAAUCUCAGCUCCACAGAGGUGAAAGCAAGUUUGCAAUUUUUGCUUAAUACUGACUGCUGAAUGAAGGACAGUCCCAGUCCUUCCACCACACCCCAGCUGCCAGCAAAGACAUAGGCAACCACUCCCCAAGGCAGCAUAGCAGAGCAGGCAUGAACCAUGAAGAACUGCUUGGCUUAGGGAUCAGCGUUGUUCCUUGGAGGGCAUGACAUCAUCCGCUGAGGAACAACUUCAGUUUUGUGACUGUAGAAGCUGACAGCUCACACCUGACUACUGCUGAGAGACUGGAUUACUUGUAUCUUAUCUAGAUAAAUGAGAGAAUGAAGCCCAGGAGGAAUGAAAAAUUUAAGCCUAGGUGUUACUCAGCAUGCCAAGUAACUAGCCUGGGCCAGACAGAAAAUCCUUCCAAAUGCAGGCCUCCUUCCUGGCAACAGCACUGUGCCACUUUGACAUCCAGCAUUAAUUUUAAAUGAGAGUGAUUUAUUUUGCUUUAGAAGACAGCAGAUGGCAGCAAAGUUAUACAAAUGCGCCAAACUAGUAGAAGAAGAAAAAUAUCUUGAUACACAAACUCUAACAACAUUCCAUGGAAAAAACAUAUCAUUUGUUUCUGUCUGUCUUGCAGUGUGGUUAGCACAAUAAAUCAGAUUUAAUGGCCCUCA